AUUGAACGCUGGCGGAAUGCUUUACACAUGCAAGUCGAACGGCAGCACGGACUUCGGUCUGGUGGCGAGUGGCGAACGGGUGAGUAAUGUAUCGGGACGUGCCCAGUCGUGGGGGAUAACGUAGUGAAAAUUACGCUAAUACCGCAUACGAUCUAUGGAUGAAAGCGGGGGAUCGCAAGACCUCGCGCGAUUGGAGCGGCCGAGAUCAGAUUAGGUAGUUGGUGGGGUAAAGGCCCACCAAGCCAACGAUCUGUAGCUGGUCUGAGAGGACGACCAGCCACACUGGAACUGGGACACGGUCCAGACUCCUACGGGAGGCAGCAGUGGGGAAUUUUGGACAAUGGGCGAAAGCCUGAUCCAGCCAUUCCGCGUGCAGGAUGAAGGCCCUCGGGUUGUAAACUGCUUUUGUACAGAACGAAAAGGUUUCUACUAAUACUAGGAGCUCAUGACGGUACUGUAAGAAUAAGCACCGGCUAACUACGUGCCAGCCGCCGCAGUAA
rnacentral:rRNA from 1 species